CGUGAAGAAAAGUUGAAAAGUACUUUGAAGAGUUAACGAGUACGUGAAACCGUUCAGAGGUAAACCUAAGAAACCCAAAAAAUCGAACGGGGAGAUUCAUCGUCAACGAAACUGGCUUCGCGUCGGUGGGCGAUAACCCCGCGGUGUGUCCUAAGCGGCACGCGCGUGCGGGCACGCUACCGAACGCCGAUGUCCGGUUUUCGUCGUCGUGCACUUCUCUCCUAGUAGAACGUCGCGACUCGCUGUGUGUCGGUCACCGACCCGGGUGCGGUUACUGUCACGUCGCCCGUAAAAACGGCGCGCGGCAAACACCCCCGGUCGCCCGACC
rnacentral:rRNA from 1 species